GGAAGAAGAUGGAUGGAUGGAUGGGUUUAUCUCUCAUCAUUUCCUGUUUUAUUUUGAAAAGUCUCUGAUACAAUCCUGGCUCAUGUCAAAAAGAGGUUCACCUUUCUAGACCAUCUUGUGAGUGCCACACUGCUACAAUGAGCAGCAUUGUUACACAUUUACAGUCAAGGCCCUGGACACUACAUUGAGGGCAUAUCCCAUGCUCAACAAGAUGAAGCUCAAGACUGAACUGUCCCUUAUCUAUGAGAGUCCUGAGUUCAAUCGCUGCUGCGGCGCCGUGGCACUGUACCAGGUUUUCCUGGAGCAGAACCUCCAGGAGACUUUUUCUGAGAUGGCUGCACUUUUAAACAUUUUCAAAACCACUCCCAUGACAACAGCUGAAGCUGAGAGGUGUUUCUGCACCCUUAAGAGAAUCAAGACAUUUCUCAGAAAUACAAUGGGACAAGAACGACUGAAUGCACUAGCUAUGCUCUCCAUGGAGAGAGAGUUGGUCAGGAAAAUGCCAAGCCUCAAUGAGAGGGUAAUUGAUCACUUUGCUGCCAUGAAAGCAGGCAAGCAAAGUUUCAGUACAAGUGAAUGAUGUCAAUAACUGUAAAAAACUGAUAAAACAAACAAACAAACAAAAAACAUUUCUGUGUAUUUAUUACUGGUCACGGAUGUUCCCGUAUCAUUUUCUAUCUUUAUUAAUUCUCAAUCAGUUUCUUAGUUCCUCUUGCAGUUUUUUUUUUUUGGUACGUGUUGUGAUGCAUACAUGCUUUUCUUGUUUUCUUGUUCAUCCAUGUCACAUAUCUAUUGGUUACUAUGGUUGCACAGCUAGGUGUUGGGACCAGAACAUAAAAUAAAUCUUAUAAAUGUUUAAUAAUCAUCCAGUCUAUCUAGUUUGCUACCUAAUUUGCUGCUAAUUUCCAAAUAGAACAGGGCACCUUAGCCUUCAUGGCAAAAGUUGCCCCUCCUGUGAGACUGCCAGUCAUUUGUGUAAAGGGAGAAGAGCAGUGGAGAAAGGACACAUCCUUGUGGAGCACCAGUGCUGGUUGUCCGUGUACCAGAUUUUAAACUGUUAUAAUUGGCCUUUACUGUGUACACUUUAGAUUUGUAUUUUUCUAGUUAUAAUUGUAUUUUCUAACUGAACUCACGUAACCUACUGUGUUUCCUUGGAUGUACCCACAAGAUCCUCUCUAAUGUUUCUAGGUCUGUUACAGUAGAUACACGCCUCAAUAACAACAUCCACACAUUUGAUAUCAUAUUUCAGGAAGUGCAAGUGAACGGUGGUUGGUCUGUUCACCUCAGAGACAGCUGGCCAAUGACCCUCGGUUGCGAGUAAGUCCAGCCUCUGUACUGGGCAGACCCAGUCCAAGAAGAUAAAUGUAAACUACAAUCGAAUAUCCGGGCUCCUUCUGACUGAGAUCCUGCGGGAGCUCCGUCACUCCGAGCCCAGUGCUGCCAUAUUUUACCUAUGACCUAAAUAAAUUGUACUUCUG